GUUGCACAGGGCCAGCCUCUCAGCAGACCCCAGGAAGCACGGUUCAUCAGUUCCAUGUGGGAGACUAGCUACUGAGAGAUUAUAUUCAUAUGCUGGAGGGUGGUGGGGACAAGAAGAUCCAUGUGCCAAGGGAUCCUGAUAGCCACCCCAACCACCCAUGUGUUGAUUUCUAAGAAAUAUAUUCGCAUAUGGUCCCACAGAGUGGUAGUUGUUUGCAAAAUCAGGAUCAGAUGCUAAUCCACGAUGCUCCAGAAAUAUUUAUUCCAAAUCAAUGACUAAAGCAUAAGAAAGCUCUCAACAAACCUGCACUCCAUAGGAUGACUUUGGUUUUUGUCAGAACACAGAGAGAAUAUAUCAAAAUCUUUAGGAACUCAAGCAAUCUUUUGUUGCUCUAAUAAUUUGUCACAGCUAACAUAAGGAAGGAGAAAAUUUUCCUCAUGUCAACCCUAGUUUCUAAAGAAAUCAGUGAAAUUCAGGUCAAAAUACUACCAAUGCUGGCUAUAUUCUUUUUUUCUUUUUACAAAAGUAAAUCUAUUUUUACAUCUUGCAAUUUCUGAUCAAAAUAAAAUGCUGAUUUUAACUCACUUCCUACAGAAAAUUUCUAAUGUAACAUAAACUUCAAGUGAAUUCAAUUGUUUUCUAAUGCACUGCUAAGUGAAGGCAAAGAUUUAGCAAAAGGAAAAUUACUAUGCUAAAGUUUACAUGAAGAGGAGCCACAAAAAGCGGAUGACAGAGAUAAAAUACAAAUACAAGAAAACUUGCCAUGAGCAAAUAUUGUACAUUGAUGUGAUGAUUUUAUAACAUUUCCGAAUAUCAACUGAAAAGCUGUUCUGCCUUCGACAUUUUGAAAGGAAUUUUAAAAUUCAGGAAAGUUGGAGAGGAACCUCCACAAAUGGAGGCUCGCGUUUUCACUCCAGAAUUGGCAUCAGGGACUGGGCCCCAGUGUCUGUGAAGAAGGGGGACGGUCUUCUAUGUUCACCCAAGUGCAUCAUGCCAACAGGCUGCAGCCACAGGAUCCCAUCCAGGCUACCACAUUAUACUUAGGAGUUAUGUGUCCUUAAGCCUCUUCUUGGCUGUGACAUUUUCUCAGACUUUCCUUGUUUUUAAUGACCUUCACAGUUGGAAGGAGCACUGGUCAGGUACAUUGUAGAAUCUUUCUCCACUGGGACUCGACUGAUGUUUUUCUCCUGAUUAGAUUAAGGCUGUGAGUUUGGGGCAGGAAGACCACAGAGAUAACUCCUAUCUUCAUGACAUCAUAUCAAGGGUGCACACUGUGAAACAUAACUAACUGCUACAGAUGUUUGAUGUUAACUUUGAUCACCUGAACGAGAUAAUGUUUAACAUAUAUAACAUAAUGCUAAGCUGUAUUAAGUAACUUCAAAUAGAUUUAUUUUGAAGGCUCAAUUAAAUAACAAAAAUCUUAUGACUUCCAGGAGUGCCGAAUCUCUAGAUGAUCUCAUUAUUAAGAGCUCCAGAUUACUUGAAAACAGAUCCACUUUAGGAAAAAAUAUGAAUGUUAUUUUAUCCAAUCUAAGAACUUGUUUUCCACAGAGAAGUUUCCAAAACAGAAUAGCUCUUGUUGAUCUGUGAACCACUUUGAGGUGGGCGUGGAGCUUAGUUUAUCAGUAAAAGCCGAAAAUAAAUAAGAAUUCCAAGUGCCUAGGUACUAGUCAAGAAAAAGAGAGUGAACAGUCAAUACAGGAAUAGGAAAGAAGUGAGAAGAGCAGGUAAAGUAAAGAACGGAGGUAUAAAUUGGUAUAGAAGAUGUAAAGAGAGAUUAUGAACGUGAAGACAGUUGCAAGGAGACCUAGGUCAUUGUAAAUUCUAGCUCAGGCAGUAUUCAAGCUGAGCCUCCCAGAUCUCCAGUAAAGAGUCUUAUACCCUAAUUUAGCCACUGCCUUUGAGGAGGGGAAUAAAAAAGAACGGAUUGUUUCUUGGGUCUGAGAUGAUAUCAAGGCAAUGAUACAAGGACAUCCUUAAAGCACACAAAGAUAAUUAAAUUUAUAGAGGUGAUAUAUUAGCAGCAAAGAGGAAGAAAUGUAGACCCUGCUGAAAAUUUAAGGAGAUCUGGGGGAUGUUUUCAGAUGUCCACAGUUGUUGCAAAGAAGAUGGGACCCAGUCUCUUGUGACUAUUAGGUGGUUAGGAAAACUUUCCUGGCAGUAGGCUUCCUCAUCCUUGUCAGUAAUAAUGCAGUCGGUGGGCACAGCCGUGUUGGACUCAGGAAUACCCACCUAAUUUAAUUUCUCCCUUCUUCUGAACCCUUGGCUGCUUCUGGAUCUCUUGGUCCUCACCCCAUUCUCCACCCUUUCCCUGCCCUUCUCUCCAUCACAGCACUGGUCCCCACAAGCUGCGUUUCCCAUUCUCCCAGAACAGCUUUGUUCCUGCAGGAUCCAGCCAGGGGGAGGCUCCAGCAGGAAAUGGGAGUUUGAAGGGAGGGGAGAAAUCUGGGCGUUUCUCCUCCCCCUGUCUUUGGUGGAGUUUGGCAGUGCUA